rnacentral:rRNA from 1 species
CAGCAGCCGCGGGAAAACGAAGGGGGCUAGCGUUGCUCGGAAUGACUGGGCGUAAAGGGCGCGUAGGUGGAUUGUUUAGUUAGGCGUGAAAUUCCUGGGCUUAACCUGGGGACUGCGCUUAAUACAGGCAGUCUAGAGUGAGGAAGAGGGUUGUGGAAUUCCCAGUGUAGAGGUGAAAUUCGUAGAUAUUGGGAAGAACACCGGUGGCGAAGGCGGCAACCUGGUCCUUGACUGACGCUGAGGCGCGAAAGCGUGGGGAGCAAACAGGAUUAGAUACCCCGGUAGUCCCUGUCUCUUAUAC